GCAAACUUGGUCAUUUAGAGGAAGUAAAAGUCGUAACAAGGUUUCCGUAGGUGAACCUGCGGAAGGAUCAUUAUUGAUUAACAAAAUCUUACUUGCUGAUGAGGUAUUGAGAGGGAGAAGUGUGGUUGUGUGUUGAGGGCAAAAGUCUCUUUGUGUGGACGAUUUGCCACAACGCCGCCGCGCCACGCCUCUCCCCAACACAAACCACUCUUGCUAUUAAACUGCCAAUAUAAGAAUUCAUUAACUAAUAAAACUUGCAACAAUGGAUCUCUUGGCUCUUGCAUCGAUGAAGAACGCAGC
rnacentral:misc_RNA from 1 species